GGUCGGUUAGCUUAGUCGGUAGAGCAUACGCCUAAUAUCCAGCUGGAUAGUACAGCGUAAGGUCGAGGGUUCGAUCCCCUCACGGAUCA